rnacentral:lncRNA from 1 species
AAAUAUUGUGUGCUUUGAAGUGAUCAACGUCACAACCUUUUGGUAGGAGUGUAGGUGGACGGACAUAUCUGCCAUUCCUUCUCCAUAUACAUACGUACAAACCUCUCAGCAUCUGCUAAGGGUAAGAGUGAGGCCUGGAGGUCCCAUCCCAUCACCCCUGCAUAGUUAGUAGACGUAUAUACGUUGCCUUAUAUUCUUAUACAUCAUACCAUACUAUAAUAUGCUUAAUUAAUUAGUUUUAUCCUCAAUUAAAUAUGUCUAUAUAUAUUUAAAAAAUAGAAUAAAUCUGAACUGUUCUUGUAUUUUCUUAUCCAAAUCAAUUAGAAUGAAUUUGAACCGUAUUUGUACUUUUUCGUUCAAAUUUAAAUUGAGUUAUAUCUUAUUAUUAUAUUAUAGAUAGUAGUAGUAUAUGAUCGAGAUGACACUAUCUUUUUCCGUGGAGUGGAGCUAUAUAUAUAACGUUGAUUGAAGAUUUUUG